rnacentral:rRNA from 1 species
GAUGAACGCUGGCGGCGUGCCUAAUACAUGCAAGUCGAGCGAACAGACGAGGAGCUUGCUCGUCGGACGUUAGCGGAGGGCGGGUGAGAAACACGUGGAUAACCUACUUAUAUGACUGGGAUAUCUACGGGAAACCGGAGCUAAUACGGGAGAAUAUACUGAACCGCGGGGGUCAAUAGUGAAAGUCGGUUGUGCGGUCACUUCUAGAUGGAUACGGGCUGCAUUAGGUAGUUGGUAAGGUAACGGCUUACCAAGGCAAGGAUGCGUAGCCGACCUGAGAGGGUGAUCGGCCACCUUGGAACGUGGACACGGUCCAGACGCCUGCGGGAGGCAGCAGUAGGGAAUGUUACGCAAUGGGCGAGAACCUGACGGAGCAACGCCGCGUGAGUGAUGAAGGUCUUCGGAUCGUAAAACUCUGUUAUUAGGGAAGAACAAAUGUGUAAGUAACUAUGCACGUCUUGACGGUACCUAGUCAGAAAGCCACGGCUAACUACGUG